rnacentral:tRNA from 1 species
GCCUGGGUGGUGGAACUGGUAGACACCCGGGACUUAAAAUCGGGUUCGAUUCCCGCCCCAGGCACCA